rnacentral:sRNA from 1 species
GAGGGUCGCGGGUUCGAGCCCCGUCCGCUGCGCCA